rnacentral:rRNA from 1 species
UACGUAGGGUGCAAGCGUUGUCCGGAAUUAUUGGGCGUAAAGAGCUCGUAGGCGGUUUGUCGCGUCUGCUGUGAAAACUCGGGGCUUAACCCCGGCCUGCAGUGGGUACGGGCAGACUAGAGUGCGGUAGGGGAGACUGGAAUUCCUGGUGUAGCGGUGAAAUGCGCAGAUAUCAGGAGGAACACCGGUGGCGAAGGCGGCGACCUGGGUCGAGACUGACGCUGAGGCGCGAAAGCGUGGGGAGCAAACAGG